UACGUAGGGCGCAGGCGUUAUCCGGAAUUAUUGGGCGUAAAGAGCUCGUAGGCGGUUUGUCGCGUCUGCCGUGAAAGUCCGGGGCUCAACUCCGGAUCUGCGGUGGGUACGGGCAGACUAGAGUGAUGUAGGGGAGACUGGAAUUCCUGGUGUAGCGGUGAAAUGCGCAGAUAUCAGGAGGAACACCGAUGGCGAAGGCAGGUCUCUGGGCAUUAACUGACGCUGAGAAGCGAAAGCGUGGGGAGCGAACAGG
rnacentral:rRNA from 1 species